GCCGGGCGUGGUGGUGCAUGCCUGUAAUCCCAGCUACUUAGGAGGCUGAGACAGGAGAAUCACUUGAACCCGGGAGGCGGAGGUUGCAGUGAGCCGA
rnacentral:SRP_RNA from 14 species